rnacentral:rRNA from 1 species
CCAACAGGGAUUGCCUUAGUAGCGGCGAGUGAAGCGGCAAAAGCUCAAAUUUGAAAUCUGGUACUUUCAGUAUCCGAGUUGUAAUUUGUAGAAGCAACUUUGGUGAUGGUCUUUGCAUAAGUUCCUUGGAAUAGGACGUCAUAGAGGGUGAGAAUCCCGUAUAUGGUGAAGAACCCACACUAUGUAAAGUGCUUUCGAAGAGUCGAGUUGUUUGGGAAUGCAGCUCAAAGUGGGUGGUAAAUUCCAUCUAAAGCUAAAUAUUGGCGAGAGACCGAUAGCGAACAAGUACUGUGAAGGAAAGAUGAAAAGAACUUUGAAAAGAGAGUGAAAAAGUACGUGAAAUUGUUGAAAGGGAAGGGAUCUAAAUCAGACAUGGUAUUUUGUGAUCAACAGUCUUUCGGGAUUGUGCACUCGCAUUUUACUAGGCCAGCAUCGGUUAGAAGGGGGUAAAAAAGAUUUUGGAAUGUGGCUCCUCGGAGUGUUAUAGCCAAAGUUAAUUGCCCCAUUUCUGACCGAGGACCGCGUCUUUUGACUAGGAUGCUGGCGUA